CGGUCCGCUCCGCGCGGGACCAGGCGCUUGUGGUGCAGAAGGGCGGAGAAGCCGCGGCGGGGCCGGGGCUGCUGGCUGCGCUCGCGGCCGUGGAAGACCCUCGGGACGAGAGGCGGACACGGCAGGGCCUGCUGGGCGCGCUGGGGCGUUUUUGGUGAUGAAGAACGUGUUCUGAAGCUGACUGCUAGCAGGCUACAGGACAAGGAGACAGACAGGCAAGGCACCUGCUAAAACCAGGUUCAUCAUUCCUCAUCGUUACCAGAGGUCGUGGAAACAUCACCUGAAGACUUCUUGCAGUUCAUUGGCCAAUGCGGUGUAUGUGGCCAACACGAACUUGCAGGGAAGACUAUUUCUGAGUUUUGACCCAGACACACCAGUGCCUCCCUGGAGACUCCAGUCAGUGGCUCAUCCCUUCUCGCCUGAACAAUAAUAAUAACAACGAUAAAGGCAAUCAUGAUAAAUAGUCACUUCCUUAUGGUGAGCUUGGAGGUUUAAAGGAGGUGAUGUAAGUAGAACAUUUAACACAAUGAAUGCCCAGAACAUAGGAGAAUAAAUGCCGUGUAUUAGAAUGUAAGCUCCAUGAAGGUAGGAAUCCGGCCCGUCUCCUGCAGGUGUUCAGGAAACACGUGUUCGAUACCGAAUGAAUAAAUGCAGGAGGUAAACUCUCAUGACGUGUGGAGGGUAAGACCAUGGUUGCACUGCAGUCAGCAGAGUGUAUAUGUUUGUGUUAAAAAUAAGUACAUGAGGGAAAAAACACCCAGCAGAGUGUUUUUCAAACAUAUAAUUAACCGAGCCCAGAUUAGGCUCUCAUGCAUUCUCUGGAUUUUUUGGAAGAAAUUUCAUUGCUGGUAAUGUUGUCCCUGGAGUAUUUCCAAGAUUCAAAAAUAUCAAUUUGUUUCAAAUGAUGUUUAGUGAAGACAGGGUAAUGCAAAAGAGGAAAGAAUUUAACUGUUAAAAUUCAAGGGUUCUUAGUGCAAAAACAAAACAAAACCAAAAAAAAAAAAAAAAACCCACCCCAAACCCCAAAAAAACUAUGUACAAAUUUAGAUUUUUCAUUCUAGGGGAAUAAUUUACAAUUAACUGAGGGAAAAAAAGAAAAAAGAAAAACCCUGACCAUUGUCCUCUUUAACCUGAAUCAUGUUGCGGAGAAGUAGAUUUUUUUUCUUAAGUAAUAUACCGAUAGCUCUUAAAUUAUUAAGCUACUUUUACGAGGCCUUAAUGGUUUGAUUUUUUCCUGUGUUGAGUAGCUAUGCAGAAAGGGCUGCGAGCCGUUUGCUUGCUUUUCUUCAUGUAAGUCAAAAUAUAAAGCCCUCUUCUUGUCUGGUCUCGCUUUUCUUUCUUUUUUUUUUUUUAAGUGUCAUGUUAUUACACAUUCAUUUUACACAAGCAAAAAUGAUAGUCACAGGCCGAUUUUGAAACCAUUAACUUUCUAAAGCCCAAAGCAGAGGAGCAGAGGUGUCAGCCUUCCCGUCUUGGUGGCAGAAGUCAUCGAGGAAGGCAGGGAACUCAUGAGGGUGCUUGGGAAGGUCGUGCGAAGGAGCUUCGGUCCCAUGUGGUGACCCUGGGGAGCUGUUGAAGGAUUUCGAACAGAGGUGUAACGUGGUCAGGGUUUGAGGUUAGAAAUCGAAUCCCGUAUACAGGAAAUCAGGGGUAAGUAGAUUGAGAAAGUCACAUGGCAUGAUGCAGGCACAGGGGACAGAGUAUGGAACUGGUCGAGCCGGUGCCUUUCUGACUUAGGGCACCCACAGUGUAGACACGGGUCAGCAGAUCCUUCACGACUUAGACUUGAGAGUAGAAUCAACUGGACUGAAUGGGAAACGGAGGUGCAGACAAUCAGAAAGAGGAGGACACAGGGAGGGCUUCGGUCUCCGCAGAGGACAGUCAGGUGGACCCAUUCACCUGGAUAACAACGACCUUUCACGGGGGAGAGGGAAGGAUUUGAGAAAGGGUGACCUGGUCUGUCAGCUGUUCCCAGGAGCUGGGCCUCUGUCCUGCAAUUAAUGGGAAACAUAGAAAGGUCGUUAAUGGGGAGCCAUAGGGCAGCAUCGUGCUGGUGGCAGUUAAGCAGGCUGGAGCGUGGGGGGUCUGGCUGGAAAGCGGGAGACUAAUUAGGAAAUUCUUACAAUCACUCGCUGAGAGAUAAUGAGAGUGUUGACCAAGAUAGCAGCAGUGGGAGAGGAUGUGAGGACAGAGUGGAGAUAUAUUUGGAAUUAGUUAAAUAUGAGGGCAGAAGGGGAGUCAGCAGGCCAGUGUGAUGCCCAGGGCCCUUCCCGGGGCGACUGGAUGAAAACAUCCCAACGGUGACAACCGGGAAAGAUAACGGAGGAGGAAAGAAAGAAAAAGGGACAAGAGGGCCAAAUGAUUGGGGAGAAAUUUGGAAAGAAAGUGUUGUGGGGAGCACCGAGGUUGUUGAGUUUCCAGAAGCGGUCAGUGGUGCUAAAUGCUCCUAGUGGUCAAGCAGAUUAGGAACUAAGAAUUUUCCCCCUGGUUUAACAACCAGAACAAUUUCUGGGUGAACGCGGUUUCGUGGGGUGGUGUGGACAGAAACCAGACUGCUGUGGGGGGAGGACGAGGGGAGGAAGUGGUAAUAGUCUAGACGCCUUCUUCACGGAGCUCAGAAAAUAAUAAAAAUGAGCGAAAGCAGAAAAUGAGGCUACAGAAUAAAUCCAGUUUCUUUGUUUCCUUGACUGGGUGGUAGGUUAUCCAUUUGUGAAUCUCUCUUCCUCUGUAAAUUAAAUCAUUUUAUCUAACGGUGUGAACAAUUUUCCGUAGUAAAAAGUGGGACAAAAAAUAUUAUUAAGUACUAUCAUAUGUUAUACAGGGAAUACUUUUCAACAGUAAAAGGUGGAUCAUGAAAACAAUAAUAUUA